rnacentral:SRP_RNA from 1 species
GCUAAGCUUGGUGUUGCAUGCUUGUAAUCCCUGCUACUGAGGAGGCUGAGGCUAGCAGAGUGCUGGAGAUCAGCCUGCAGUGGGAUAAAGUCAAUAACGUGUCUGUACUAAGUCCAGCACUAAUACGGUCAAGGCUCUAGGAGAGGGGAGCCACCAAGCUGCCUCAGUAGGGGUGAACUGGCCUAGGUUGGAAACAGAGCAGGUCAAAGCUUCUGUAUUGAUCAGUAAUGGGAUUAGGCCUCUGAGUGGCUACUGAACUUCCAGCCUGGGCAAGAGAGGGAGAGUUAGUUUAA